CCCUUCGAUACGCUGGGCGGCACGCGCGCUACACUGACACACUCAACGAGUUCCUAGCUUGAAAGGGUUGGGUAAUCAUUUGAGCGUGUGUCGUGAUGGGGAUAGAAUAUUGUAAUUAUUGCUCUUUAACGAGGAAUUCCUAGUAGGCGUACGUUAUCAGCGUGCGUCGAUUACGUCCCUGCCCUUUGUACACACCGCCCGUCGCUCCUACCGAUUGGGUGAUCCGGUGAAUGAUUCGGACCGGCGUAGUGCUAGCUACUAGUGCUGUACUGGAAAGUUUUGUGAACCUUAUCACCUGGAGGAAGGAGAAGUCGUAACA
rnacentral:rRNA from 1 species